UAGACCGCAGGGCCAGCAACUGGUUCUCUAGCAGUGCUGCUUAGGACCCACGUGCUCAGCGUGGAACUCACGUGUCGGCGAAUGCGGAAGAAAAUCGGGAAAACCGAUGUGGCAUGCUCUUCCCAGGCAACUGUGCUGGGACAGGGUCCCGCAAACGUCGCGGGAGAAAAACCGAAGACAUGAGGUGCUCCCAGUGCGGUCCAACAGGCGUAUUUUAAAUAUAUGUCCCCAGGUCCAUGACUGAAGAAAAUUCUGGAAGGACUCCCAGGAAGUUAUUUCUUUUUUCUGCUUGCUGUGAUAUUGAGC
rnacentral:lncRNA from 1 species